rnacentral:rRNA from 1 species
GACGUAGGGCGCGAGCGUGUCCGGAUUUAUUGGGCGUAAAGAGCUCGUAGGCGGUUUGUCGCGUCUGCUGUGAAAACCCGAGGCUCAACCUCGGGCCUGCAGUGGGUACGGGCAGACUAGAGUGUUGCAGGGGAGACUGGAAUUCCUGGUGUAGCGGUGAAAUGCGCAGAUAUCAGGAGGAACACCGGUGGCGAAGGCGGGUCUCUGGGCCGUAACUGACGCUGAGGAGCGAAAGCAUGGGGAGCGAACAGG